UACAGAGGUCCCAAGCGUUGUUCGGAUUCACUGGGCGUAAAGGGUGCGUAGGUGGCCAGGUAAGUUUGGUGUGAAAGCUCGGAGCUUAACUCCGAAAAGUCAUUGAAUACUAUCUAGCUGGAGGGUCGGAGGGGAGACUGGAAUUCUCGGUGUAGCAGUGAAAUGCGUAGAUAUCGAGAGGAACACCAGUGGCGAAGGCGAGUCUCUGGACGACUCCUGACACUGAGGCACGAAAGCUAGGGGAGCAAACAGG
rnacentral:rRNA from 1 species